UACAGAGGUCCCAAGCGUUGUUCGGAUUCACUGGGCGUAAAGGGUGCGUAGGCGGUCGGGUAAGUCUGAUGUGAAAUCUCACAGCUUAACUGUGAAACUGCAUUGGAUACUAUCCGGCUCGAGGAAUGGAGGGGAGACUGGAAUACUUGGUGUAGCAGUGAAAUGCGUAGAUAUCAAGUGGAACACCAGUGGCGAAGGCGAGUCUCUGGACAUUUCCUGACGCUGAGGCACGAAAGCGAGGGGAGCAAACGGG
rnacentral:rRNA from 1 species